rnacentral:rRNA from 1 species
GACGAACGCUGGCGGCGUGCUUAACACAUGCAAGUCGAACGGAAAGGCCCUGCUUUUGUGGGGUGCUCGAGUGGCGAACGGGUGAGUAACACGUGAGUAACCUGCCCUUGACUUUGGGAUAACUUCAGGAAACUGGGGCUAAUACCGGAUAGGAGCUCCUGCUGCAUGGUGGGGGUUGGAAAGUUUCGGCGGUUGGGGGUGGACUCGCGGCUUAUCAGCUUGUUGGUGGGGUAGUGGCUUACCAAGGCUUUGACGGGUAGCCGGCCUGAGAGGAUGACCGGCCACAUUGGGACUGAGAUACGGCCCAGACUCCUACGGGAGGCAGCAGUGGGGAAUAUUGCACAAUGGGCGGAAGCCUGAUGCAGCAACGCCGCGUGCGGGAUGACGGCCUUCGGGUUGUAAACCGCUUUCGCCUGUGACGAAGCGUGAGUGACGGUAAUGGGUAAAGAAGCACCGGCUAACUACGUG